rnacentral:rRNA from 1 species
CCAGACUCCUACGGGAGGCAGCAGUGGGGAAUAUUGCACAAUGGGGGGAACCCUGAUGCAGCGACGCCGCGUGAGUGAAGAAGUAUUUCGGUAUGUAAAGCUCUAUCAGCAGGGAAGAAAAUGACGGUACCUGACUAAGAAGCCCCGGCUAACUACGUGCCAGCAGCCGCGGUAAUACGUAGGGGGCAAGCGUUAUCCGGAUUUACUGGGUGUAAAGGGGGCGCAGACGGCGAUGCAAGCCAGGAGUGAAAGCCCGGGGCCCAACCCCGGGACUGCCCUUGGGACUGGGGGGCUGGAGUGCAGGAGGGGCAGGCGGAAUUCCUGGUGUAGCGGUGAAAUGCGUAGAUAUCAGGAGGAACACCGGUGGCGGAGGCGGCCUGCUGGACUGCAACUGACGUUGAGGCCCGAAAGCGUGGGGAGCAAACAGGAUUAGAUACCCCAGUACAA